AUUGAACGCUAGCGGGAUGCUUUACACAUGCAAGUCGAACGGCAGCGCGGACUUCGGUCUGGCGGCGAGUGGCGAACGGGUGAGUAAUGUAUCGGAACGUGCCCAGUAGCGGGGGAUAACUACGCGAAAGCGUAGCUAAUACCGCAUACGCCCUACGGGUGAAAGCAGGGGAUCGUAAGACCUUGCACUAUUGGAGCGGCCGAUAUCGGAUUAGCUAGUUGGUGAGGUAACGGCUCACCAAGGCGACGAUCCGUAGCUGGUUUGAGAGGACGACCAGCCACACUGGGACUGAGACACGGCCCAGACUCCUACGGGAGGCAGCAGUGGGGAAUUUUGGACAAUGGGGGCAACCCUGAUCCAGCCAUCCCGCGUGUGCGAUGAAGGCCUUCGGGUUGUAAAGCACUUUUGGCAGGAAAGAAACGUCGCGGGCUAAUACCCCGUGGAACUGACGGUACCUGCAGAAUAAGCACCGGCUAACUACGUG
rnacentral:rRNA from 1 species